rnacentral:rRNA from 1 species
GCGCCGGCUAAAUUACGUGCCAGCAGCCGCGGUAAUACGUAGGGCGCAAGCGUAUCCGGAAUUAUUGGGCGUAAAGAGCUCGUAGGCGGUUUGUCGCGUCUGCCGUGAAAGUCCGGGGCUCAACUCCGGAUUGCGGUGGGUACGGGCAGACUAGAGUGAUGUAGGGGAGACUGGAAUUCCUGGUGUAGCGGUGAAAUGCGCAGAUAUCAGGAGGAACACCGAUGGCGAAGGCAGGUCUCUGGGCAUUAACUGACGCUGAGGAGCGAAAGCAUGGGGAGCGAACAGGAUUAGAUACCCUGGUAGUCCAUGCCGUAAACGUUGGGCACUAGGUGUGGGGGACAUUCCACGUUUUCCGCGCCGUAGCUAACGCAUUAAGUGCCCCGCCUGGGGAGUACGGCCGCAAGGCUAAAACUCAAAGGAAUUGACGGGGGCCCGCACAAGCGGCGGAGCAUGCGGAUUAAUUCGAUGCAACGCGAAGAACCUUACCAAGGCUUGACAUGAACCGGAAACGUCUGGAAACAGGCGCCCCACUUGUGGUCGGUUUACAGGUGGUGCAUGGUUGUCGUCAGCUCGUGUCGUGAGAUGUUGGGUUAAGUCCCGCAACGAGCGCAACCCUCGUUCCAUGUUGCCAGCGCGUAAUGGCGGGGACUCAUGGGAGACUGCCGGGGUCAACUCGGAGGAAGGU